AGACCCGAAACCCGGUGAUCUAGCCAUGGGCAGGUUGAAGGUUGGGUAACACUAACUGGAGGACCGAACCGACUAAUGUUGAAAAAUUAGCGGAUGACCUGUGGCUGGGGGUGAAAGGCCAAUCAAACCGGGAGAUAGCUGGUUCUCCCCGAAAGCUAUUUAGGUAGCGCCUCGUGAAUUCAUCUCCGGGGGUAGAGCACUGUUUCGGCUAGGGGGCCAUCCCGGCUUACCAACCCGAUGCAAACUGCGAAUACCGGAGAAUGUUAUCACGGGAGACACACGGCGGGUGCUAACGUCCGUCGUGAAGAGGGAAACAACCCAGACCGCCAGCUAAGGUCCCAAAGUCAUGGUUAAGUGGGAAACGAUGUGGGAAGGCCCAGACAGCCAGGAUGUUGGCUUAGAAGCAGCCAUCAUUUAAAGAAAGCGUAAUAGCUCACUGGUCGAGUCGGCCUGCGCGGAAGAUGUAACGGGGCUAAACCAUGCACCGAAGCUGCGGCAGCGAACGUAUCACCCAAGACAACUUUACGGAGUUGACGAUUGACGGAGCGAAGCGACGUCAAAGCGUUCAUUAAAGUCGAGUUGGCUUAGGGAUACGUUCGUUGGGUAGGGGAGCGUUCUGUAAGCCUGUGAAGGUGGCCUGUGAGGGUUGCUGGAGGUAUCAGA
rnacentral:rRNA from 1 species